rnacentral:lncRNA from 1 species
UUGCCUCCAACCCAGAACGGAUACUAAAUGUUUGAUUUCUCUUUCUAGGUGAUUUGUAUCAUGAGAAGCUGAAGGUUGAGGCCUCAGGGGGACAUCCCUAAGGGAACUGAACUUUCCUGGCAGAAACUAUUCUGUGGGAUGAUCGGACUGUAGUAGACACCUGUUCUCUAAAAUCAACAGAGGACCAUUGUAGGAGAUCUUUACAUAAAAAGAGUGAAACCCUUCUUUGUGAGCAGCGAAAGAAUCUCACAUUUGUUAGAC